rnacentral:rRNA from 1 species
GACGAACGCUGGCGGCGUGCUUAACACAUGCAAGUCGAACGGAAAGGCCCUGCUUUUGUUGGUCGUGUGGUGGCCGAGUGGUUAACAACUCAGUAAUCACCCGCCCUUUUCUUUGGGAUUACUUCAAGCAACUGGGGAUAAUACCGGGUAAUAGCUGCUGCUUGAUGGGGGGGGGUGGGAAUGUUCGGCGGUUGGGGGAGGACUCGCGGCUUAUCAGGUUGUUGGUGGGGUAGUGGCUUACCAAGGCUUUGAGGGGUCGCCGGCCUGGGGGGGUGACCGGCAAAAUUGGGACUGGGAAACGGCCCAGACUCCAACGGGAGGCAGCAGUGGGGAAUAUUGCACAAUGGGCGGAAGCCUGAUGCAGCAACGCCGCGUGCGGGAUGACGGCCUUCGGGUUGUAAACCGCUUUCGCCUGUGACGAAGCGUGAGUGACGGUAAUGGGUAAAGAAGCACCGGCUAACUACGUG